GACGAACGCUGGCGGCGUGCUUAACACAUGCAAGUCGAACGAAGAGCGAUGGAAGCUUGCUUCUAUCAAUCUUAGUGGCGAACGGGUGAGUAACGCGUAAUCAACCUGCCCUUCAGAGGGGGACAACAGUUGGAAACGACUGCUAAUACCGCAUACGAUCUGACCUCGGCAUCGAGGAUAGAUGAAAGGUGGCCUCUACAUGUAAGCUAUCACUGAAGGCGGGGAUUGCGUCUGAUUAGCUAGUUGGAGGGGUAACGGCCCACCAAGGCGAUGAUCAGUAGCCGGUCUGAGAGGAUGAACGGCCACAUUGGGACUGAGACACGGCCCAGACUCCUACGGGAGGCAGCAGUGGGGAAUCUUCCGCAAUGGACGAAAGUCUGACGGAGCAACGCCGCGUGAGUGAUGACGGCCUUCGGGUUGUAAAGCUCUGUUAAUCGGGACGAAAGGCCUUUUUGCGAAUAGUGAGAAGGAUUGACGGUACCGGAAUAGAAAGCCACGGCUAACUACGUG
rnacentral:rRNA from 1 species